AUGAUCAGUGGGGCUUCAAAUACGCUGCAGAUUCUGACACCGAUGAAUGGUGGCAAAGCUGUAGAUAUGAACAUGGAAGCUGAGAUCUCAGCCCAGGAUGUCAUGCGAGCCGGCGGCUUCGGUGCCAAAGACGACAUCGGCAGCCUCCUACCGACGGCGAUGGACUCCACUGACUUCGAGGCCUCGCUGUGGGACGCCCGCGACUUUGAAGGCGUGAAGGAGCAGCCAUCGCGACCCGGGCUGUGUUACGGGGCAUCUGAAGCUGACGCCACAAGCAAGCCGUGCGACGCGCUACGGCAGUGA
rnacentral:rRNA from 1 species